UUUCGGUCAGUGUAUGUGUGUGUGUGUGUGUGUGUGUGUGUGUGUGUAGGGGUGUGUGUGUGUUCGUGUUAAGCAUAUUUGAAGACAUAAGAAAGUUAAACGGUCUGGGCCCCGCCUGACUUUUUGGUAGUGUUGCUGCUGCCGCUGCUGUUGCUGCCGCUGCUGGUGUUGGAGGUGUUGGCGUUGUUGGCGGUGGUGAUGUUGCUGCUGCUGCUGCUGCUGCUGUUGCUGCUG